rnacentral:rRNA from 1 species
GAUGAACGCUGGCGGCGUGCCUAAUACAUGCAAGUCGAGCGAACGGACGAGAAGCUUGCUUCUCUGAUGUUAGCGGCGGACGGGUGAGUAACACGUGGAUAACCUACCUAUAAGACUGGGAUAACUUCGGGAAACCGGAGCUAAUACCGGAUAAUAUUUUGAACCGCAUGGUUCAAAAGUGAAAGACGGUCUUGCUGUCACUUAUAGAUGGAUCCGCGCUGCAUUAGCUAGUUGGUAAGGUAACGGCUUACCAAGGCAACGAUGCAUAGCCGACCUGAGAGGGAGAUCGGCCACACUGGAACUGAGACACGGUCCAGACUCCUACGGGAGGCAGCAGUAGGGAAUCUUCCGCAAUGGGCGAAAGCCUGACGGAGCAACGCCGCGUGAGUGAUGAAGGUCUUCGGAUCGUAAAACUCUGUUAUUAGGGAAGAACAUAUGUGUAAGUAACUGUGCACAUCUUGACGGUACCUAAUCAGAAAGCCACGGCUAACUACGUG